rnacentral:rRNA from 1 species
GUGGGGAAUAUUGGACAAUGGGCGAAAGCCUGAUCCAGCCAUGCCGCGUGUGUGAAGAAGGUCUUCGGAUUGUAAAGCACUUUAAGUUGGGAGGAAGGGCAGUAAGUUAAUACCUUGCUGUUUUGACGUUACCGACAGAAUAAGCACCGGCUAACUUCGUGCCAGCAGCCGCGGUAAUACGAAGGGUGCAAGCGUUAAUCGGAAUUACUGGGCAUAAAGCGCGCGUAGGUGGUUUUGUAAGUUGGAGGUGAAAUCCCCGGGCUCAACCUGGGAACUGCCUCCAAAACUGCAUGACUAGAGUACGGUAGAGGGUAGUGGAAUUUCCUGUGUAGCGGUGAAAUGCGUAGAUAUAGGAAGGAACACCAGUGGCGAAGGCGACUACCUGGACUGAUACUGACACUGAGGUGCGAAAGCGUGGGGAGCAAACAGGAUUAGAAACCCGUGUAGUCC